rnacentral:rRNA from 1 species
GACGAACGCUGGCGACGUGCUUAAAAACAUGCAAGUCGAACGGACUUCUCAUGAAGCUUGCGAUUGAGAAGUUAGUGACGGACGGGUGAGUAACGCGUGGGCAACCUACCCCUGAGCCCGGGAUAACAGUUCGAAAAGACUGCUAAAACCGGAUAUACUUGCAGUGAAGCAUUUCACUGCAAGGAAAAGAAACGCUCAGGGAUGGGCCCGCGUCCCAUUAGCUAGUUGGUGAGGUAACGGCUCACCAAGGCGACGAUCAGUAGCCGGCUUGAGAGAGUGACCGGCCACAUUGGGACUGAGACACGGCCCAAACUCCUACGGGAGGCAGCAGUGGGGAAUAUUGCACAAUGGGGGAAACCCUGAUGCAGCGACGCCGCGUGAGUGAAGAAGUAUUUCGGUAUGUAAAGCUCUAUCAGCAGGGAAGAAGAAAGACGGUACCUGACUAAGAAGCCCCGGCUAACUACGUGCCAGCAGCCGCGGUAAGCAUACUCGUA